rnacentral:rRNA from 1 species
GUGGGGAAUCUUGCGCAAUGGGCGAAAGCCUGACGCAGCCAUGCCGCGUGGAUGAUGAAGGUCUUAGGAUUGUAAAAUCCUUUCACCGGUGAAGAUAAUGACUGUAGCCGGAAAAGAAGCCCCGGCUAACUUCGUGCCAGCAGCCGCGGUAAUACGAAGGGGGCUAGCGUUGCUCGGAUUUACUGGGCGUAAAGGGCGCGUAGGCGGACAUUUAAGUCAGGGGUGAAAUCCCGGGGCUCAACCUCGGAACUGCCUUUGAUACUGGGUGUCUUGAGUAUGAGAGAGGUGUGUGGAACUCCGAGUGUAGAGGUGAAAUUCGUAGAUAUUCGGAAGAACACCAGUGGCGAAGGCGACACACUGGCUCAUUACUGACGCUGAGGCGCGAAAGCGUGGGGAGCAAACAGGAUUAGAUACCCUGGUAGUCC